GAGGGUGUACCUCAGUGGUAGAGCAUGUGCUUAGCAUGCAUGAGGCCCUGGGUUCAAUCCCCAGUACCUCCA
rnacentral:tRNA from 1 species